rnacentral:rRNA from 1 species
AACGAACGCUGGCGGCAUGCCUAACACAUGCAAGUCGAACGAGACCAUCGGGUCUAGUGGCGCACGGGUGCGUAACGCGUGGGAAUCUGCCCUUGGGUUCGGAAUAACAGUUAGAAAUGACUGCUAAUACCGGAUGAUGACGUAAGUCCAAAGAUUUAUCGCCCAAGGAUGAGCCCGCGUAGGAUUAGCUAGUUGGUGGGGUAAAAGCUCACCAAGGCGACGAUCCUUAGCUGGUCUGAGAGGAUGAUCAGCCACACUGGGACUGAGACACGGCCCAGACUCCUACGGGAGGCAGCAGUGGGGAAUAUUGGACAAUGGGCGAAAGCCUGAUCCAGCAAUGCCGCGUGAGUGAUGAAGGCCUUAGGGUUGUAAAGCUCUUUUACCCGGGAUGAUAAUGACAGUACCGGGAGAAUAAGCUCCGGCUAACUUCGUGCCAGCCGCCGCUGUAAGAC